UUGUAUGUUAUUUUUAUUAAUUGAUAAUACUUUUAGUUAAUCACUUUGUAAAGUCUUACAAAUGUUUAAAACAAAAGGAAAAUGCAACGACGGAUUUUUCUUUUGCAACUGAAGUAAUGAAACGCAAAAAAAAAAGAAAAAUGACGUUAUGUUAUAUCAGCUGACAUACUUGAAUUCGCGCCGAAUGCAACAGUUUUAUCUUUUCAGAAUUUAUACAAUAACAACAGUAACGAAAGAAAUGUAAGUAAAUUAUUAAUCUAGUAGUAGUAAGAAACAAGUCAAAAAAGAAUAGUCACAUAAUGAACCUAUUCAUUGUUCAACUAAAUAGUUUGUUGGAAACUUGUAAAUGUAUCUUUUUGUUUUUUUAGAUCACCGAUUUACUACCUACUAGAUCUAAAGAGUCGGAGGCUAGACAUGGAGGAGCGACUUGUUUCAGCAGUCGACAAGCUGGCUGGCUACAGCUGCUGAAGCUAAUAGCAAGGCUGCGGAUAUGCAAACAGAGUUGCUUCGGCUGCUGCUGGAGGAAGUUAGGUGAAGACCAAUAUAAGGUUAAAGAAUAGCAGCAUGACGAUUCUCAAGAACGAAGACACUAGAGAAACCUAAGUUAAAAUACUUAAGUAAAAACAUAUGUAUUCAAUAAGCUUGUAUGUAAAUAUUUAAGCUAAAGUAUAAGUACUCCAUUUAUGUUAUUUAAGUGAAGUUGUAUGAUCCUGAAACAUAUAUUUAAUUUAAAUACUUAAGUUUGGUCAUGUUAUUUAAGUGAGUUUGUCUAGGGGUAACAUUAAAGUACAUUAAAGACAAA